rnacentral:rRNA from 1 species
UACGUAGGUGGCGAGCGUUGUUCGGAUUUAUUGGGCGUAAAGGGUCCGCAGGGGGUUUAUCAAGUCUGAUGUGAAAUCCCAAGGCUCAACCUUGGAACUGCAUUGGAAACUAGUAAACUAGAGUAUCGGAGAGGUAAAUGGAAUUCCUGGUGUAGCGGUGGAAUGCGUAGAUAUCAGGAAGAACACCGAGAGCGAAGGCA